rnacentral:lncRNA from 1 species
GCGCAGUGCUCGGGCGUGCAGCCGCUACCGCUGAGCCGAGCCGGGGCCGCCGGCGUCGUGUCCCUCUCAACCUGCCAACAUCCUGUGUUAGAGGAGCUUGUGACUGGAGGUGUGACCGUGGGAGAGCUGGCCGGGGAGGGACCCUGCCCAGUCGCUGCUCUGCUCCUGUCUCUUGUCCCCUCUCCCCGCCAUGACAGAGACCCGUGAGCCCACUGAGACUGGAGGCUACGCCAGCUUGGAGGAAGAUGAUGAAGACCUUUCCCCAGGCCCGGAGCAUUCUUCUGACUCUGAAUACACUCUUUCAGAGCCCGACUCUGAGGAGGAGGAGGAGGAGGAAGAGGAAGAGGAGACCACCGAUGACCCUGAAUAUGACCCUGGCUAUAAGGUGAAACAGCGCAUAGGUGGGGGCAGGGGCGGCCCAUCCCGCCGAGCGCCCCGAGCGACCCAGCCUGCUGGCCCACCUGCACAGCCCUGCCAGCUCUGUGGCCGAUCGGCACUGGGAGAGGCCC